rfam:Camelus ferus unplaced genomic scaffold scaffold1274, whole genome shotgun sequence.
GUGGGUAUAGCUCAGGGGUAGAGCAUGUGCUUGGCGUGCACGAAGUCCUGGUUUCAGUCCCCAGUACCUCCG